rnacentral:rRNA from 1 species
UACGUAGGGGGCAAGCGUUGUCCGGAAUCAUUGGGCGUAAAGAGCGUGUAGGCGGCUUGGUAAGUCCGCUGUGAAAGUCCAGGGCUCAACCCUGGAAUGCCGGUGGAAACUGUCAAGCUUGAGUCCGGAAGAGGCGAGUGGAAUUCCUGGUGUAGCGGUGAAAUGCGCAGAUAUCAGGAGGAACACCAAUGGCGAAGGCGACUCUCUGGUCUGUAACUGACGCUGAGGCGCGAAAGCGUGGGGAGCAAACAGG